GGAGUUAGCCGGUGCUUCUUCUGUGAGUGAUGUCCUUCCUGCCGGCUAUUAACCCGCAGGCCUUCUUCCUCACUGAAAGUGCUUUACAACCCGAAGGCCUUCUUCACACACGCGGCAUGGCUGGAUCAGGGUUGCCCCCAUUGUCCAAUAUUCCCCACUGCUGCCUCCCGUAGGAGUCUGGGCCGUGUCUCAGUCCCAGUGUGGCUGAUCAUCCUCUCAGACCAGCUACGGAUCGUCGCCUUGGUGAGCCGUUACCUCACCAACCAGCUAAUCCGACAUAGGCUCAUCCGAUAGCGCGAGGCCCGAAGGUCCCCCGCUUUCCCCCGUAGGGCGUAUGCGGUAUUAGCCUGGGUUUCCCCAGGUUAUCCCCCACUACCGGGCAGAUUCCUAUGCAUUACUCACCCGUCCGCCGCUCGCCACCAGGGAGCAAGCUCCCCGUGCUGCCGCUCGACUUGCAUGUGUUAGGCCUGCCGCCAGCGUUCAAUCNGACGCGAGAUACAAACUCUGA
rnacentral:rRNA from 1 species